rnacentral:misc_RNA from 1 species
UCUCCGUUGGUGAACCAGCGGAGGGAUCAUUACAGAGUUGCAAAACUCCCAAACCAUUGUGAACGUUACCUAUCCCGUUGCUUCGGCGGGCGGCCCGGGCCCCGCGCCCGGCGCCCCCCGGCCCCCCGUGGGCGCCCGCCGGAGGUAAACCAAACCCUUGAAUUGCAUGGCCUCUCUGAGUCUUCUGUAAUGAAUAAGUCAAAACUUUCAACAACGGAUCUCUUGGUUCUG